AGAAGCAAGUUGCAGAAUAGUAUCAGUAGAGCGGAACUGAUUAAUUAGAAAGCAGAUUAGUAAUGGUAAUCCCUGCACAGCCUGAAGCAGCCACAGGGUUUACGGGUGGGGGAAUGUUACCGCCGGUAAAUAAAUACCUGGUCGCGAAAGGGUCAAAGCAUCAUCCCGACAAAAAAGCUGUGAACGCACCCUUAUAUUUGACGUUUCUUGCUGCAGCAUAAAUUUACAUACGGAUAUGCGUGCGUUUGUGUGAGUGUCAAUAAUAUGAGUAAAGAAACAGAUGAUCGUUGUAAUGUUGUAUUUGUUGUUUGUUUACUAAGUACAUAAGCGAUGUAAAGUCUCCAUCAUGGAAUAUGUGUAGUUUGUUGCGCUAUUAAGUCAAGUUAUCCGUUUAUGUUCUCCGGAGGAGAUUGAAUUUGUAGUGAUACUUACCGACUCUUGCUCAUCACCAGAGGCGAAGCUAGGGAGUGUUUGGGAAAGUGGAAAACUAAAUUGU